rnacentral:lncRNA from 1 species
UCCAGCUCCAACUAUUUUAAUAUUCCUCCCUGACCCUAUGAAUCUCAGACACACAUCCUUUCACCACAAAUACUUCAGUGUGCACCUGUAAUCGGUAAGGACUUUUUGGAAUAUAACCACCACGCCCUUAUCCAACCUCACAAAAUGAACAGCUAUUCCUUACUAUUAGGUUCAUUCUCUCACAGAUGUCUCUUUAGGGCUGUUUUUAAGGCAUCUCUCUCUUUUAGGUCUCUUUUAUUCCUUAACAGUUCCCACUCCUCAUUUUUUCCCUUUUCCAUGCUGUUGACUUGUUGAAGACACCAGGUCGUUUAUCUUACAGAAUGUUCCACGUUCGGGGCUCCGCUGCUUGCUUCUUCGUAGUGUUGCUUAAUUUGUUCCUCAGUCCCCUGUAUUUCCUGUGACUUGGUAAGAGAGCUAGAGACCUGAUUAGUUUCAGGGCCAAUUUUUAUUUUUAAGGCAAAAAUGUGUGGGAGUUGGCGCUGUGUAUUUUACGUUGCAUCACCUGAAGAAGCACACAAAGUCUGCUUAUCCCACUGACAGAGACGGAUCGGAGGGCUCAGGUGGUUGAGAAAGCAGGUCACCCCGACAAGAAGCAGAGGAGGUGGAAUUUGGACCUUCUCAGUCUGACUCCAGAAUCCAAACUUUUAGCCACUCCCCCAUCCUGCAGGAAGGACAAGCGCUCCACUUUCAUACCUGUUUCUCCGUUUCUGGAGUCCCUGUGCCUACCACCCAUCCUUUGUCAGUACCGAGGACAAGCACUCGUAGUUGUAGGUCAGAUCAUGCAGUUUGAAUUGGGGAGGAAGCCAGGCUCAAUGCUUUCAAGCAACAAGAAGUUCGGGUGUGUGGCUCGGGUGCUCCUCGGUCUCCUCGGGGCUGUGGUGUGAGGUGUGAGAGGUGAUGCGUGCGUAGAGAGGCGGUAGAAUCCGAGAAGAGUUUUCCUUGGCCACUGCAUUUUGUUUCAGCCCUAAAACCUUCAGGCUCUGCUGCGAGUGCCUCAGGCCCCACAGCAGCACGUGUCAAAGGAUUGGGAAUGACUGUGAAAGAAGGUGAUCGCGUCUUCAGGCUUCGCGCAGUCUUUAUCAGGAAUUUUCCAUGUCCUUAUUUUGCCUUCUUUUCAUGCCCUCUUCUACCAUGAUUUUUCUCAUACAGCGAGACAGGCUUUCCACCUGCCUCAUCCAUCUCGUUUCUUCCUCAUGGGACAGAAGUCUUUUAGCACAAUCGCACGCUGAAACGACACUGCCAAAGGCAGUCAAGGGAGCCGGAGAAAGGUGGGUGUCAUGGGUGCUGCCCUCUGAAGUCUCUGAAAGUCCUAAACCUGGGGGCCUUCCUCCACCCUGUAGGUAGGGAGAGACCCCCACGAGAGGCUCCUAGCCAGGUUCCAGGCACAGGGACCCCAGGGAGCUGAGGAGGGGAGACGCAGAGAAGAUGAGAGAAAGAAGGCUAUCUGAUGAGAUAUGCGGAAACCUGUCACAGCUGCAUCUGGCCCUGCAUGUGCUUCUCCCGAACUCACCCAAGACUGAGCUCUUUCUGUCCAAAGACAAGCUGUGCUGCAGGCCUCCUAGAUGCUGUGUGCCACGGCAGAGGGGACCGGUUGAGAUCCUUGUUCCUGCCUUUCGGGGUGGUGAUUACGGUUUAUGCACACCCUCCCUUCACUUACAAGUAGCAUUUGUAGGUUUUCUGGUGGUUUACAACGCCGUGGACCCUCACAAUGACUUUAAGAAGGAAGGAUUAUCAUACAUAUUCAUGGUCACUGGGAUACCAUGACUCAGAGCCAGUGCAUGACUAGCUUGAGGUUUCCCCAUGGUGAAGUGGCUGAGCUGGGACUUGAACCCCUGUCCCUGGAGUGUUGAGUGUCUGCCCCUCCCUCCCCACAAGGUUCACUUCAGAGAAACAAGAGGGGCUUGGGCAGCACUUUCUUCAGGGCCCAGUGAGUCUUCUUCUCAAGAAGUUCGUCAAGAAUGCCAGUUGCUUUUGCUUUGCUUGUGGUCAGUGUCCUGUGGGAAAGGGUCAGCUGGCUAUUCAGAGUGGGACAGAAUUUUUUGUGAGGCCUCCCUUUCCCGACCUCAUUAAUGGAAGCAUUUGUACUGCCCAGUGGGGCCUCCUUGGGACACAUUCCUUGUUGUUAUUGUUGUUGAUGUGGUUUGUGGUUUUGCCUUUUUUACUUCAAAAAUCAUAUUUUCUCCAACUCCAAGAGUCAUAUGUGCUAAUUUUGAGAAUAUUAGAAAAAUAGAGAAAAGCGUAAACACGAAAAGAAAACUUGUCCAGUAUCCUGCCGCCCCGAGUCUCAGUGAGGACUUGGGGGUUGCCGUCUGUCCUCUCUCUCCUUCCUUUGGGCCUAGGGCUGCACCAUCAACUGAGCCCUCACCCCCCACACUUUGUAAAUAGUCCCUCCCCGGGUUACCCUGUUUUGAAUGUGCCAUCUGUUUUCUGUUGGGAACCAGAUUGACUCACCUUCUGACUCAUUGACAUUUCGAGACCUUUCCCUCGAAGCUCCCAUUGCCAUGAUAUUUUCUGAGGUUUCCAAGCAAUGUAUGCAGUGUGCCUGGAAUAAGCUUGGGGGUCCUAGGGAGAGAAGGCGUUUAGUUUCUCGACUCUUCCCUGGUGCCCCCCGCCCCCGACCUUGCACAGACCUUGAGCAGGCACACGUCCAUGUGUUGUGAUGUGAGGGACUCCACACUUCCACUCGCUCCUGAGCGCCUCCAACUCCUACUGCCCCUGCACUGCAUUCAAAUCACUGCUUACCAGAAUGAUCUCCACCAGGUCCCACUUGGAAAGGAAGUCGUAGGAGAGGAGGAAAGAGCCAUGGCUUGCUCAUCCCAAGGCCGUUGCACAUAAUGCUGCCUCAAAUCCCCACUCACUGCCUGACUGAGUCCUCCUUACCCCUCUUGUCUCAGCUUUGAUGAGGCCUCUCCUGAGACACCUUCCCUGAGCUCUCCACCCUGGUUAGGGCCCUUCCUCGUGACUCUUAUUACAAUGCCCUGUAACUCUCCUCCUGAGCCUCUGAGGUCCGGGAGGGUGGGACCUGUGUCCUACUUGCCCUUCCACCUGGCAUCUGCCACAACACCUGGCACAUAAUAAGCCCUCCAUAAAUCCGUAGACUAUUGCAUGUUUGGGACAUCCUCCAGUAUCAAGUUUCCCCAUCAGACUCAUUUUGAAGGACUGCUUCCAGUUGGAGGAAACCUUGAUUUGAAUGAGCCAGACAUUUCGUCCUUGAAUACUGUGUACAUUGGAAUCCAUUUACCCGUCCCCACAGGGACUGAUAUGUUUAUUGGAGGUGGGUGUGGGGUGUAGAACAAAAGAUGGAUCUUUGUCGGGGACUUUUAUGGUAUUGUUGACAAGGGAUGAUGCAGAAUAUGAAAGCAGAGCCAGGGAGUCAGGAGAAAACACUCUAUUCCAUUAUUUUCCCAAGAGCCAGGUAUGUAAAAAAAGGCCGGUGCUGCUGACAGUCAUAGGAAGAUAGACUUCAGAGAUUAUUUCUGUCUUCUAGGGUCACCUCUGAACUUAUCUACCUUAUUCACUUUACCUCCUAAUGUGGGCUCAGGGGAGCUUUGUGCAUUAGUGGAAUAUUUAUCUCUCCCUUUUAGAGGAAAACACGACUACCUCUAUUUGCAUAAAAACCGUGCUAGGUGGAGCUGGACCAGUGGCAUAGUGGUUAAGUUCGCACUCUACUUUUGCAGCCCGGGGUUCGCAUGUUCAGACCCUGGGUGCCGAAUUUCACACCACUCAUCAAGCCGUGCUGAGGUGGCAUCCCACAUGCAAAAAAUAGAGGAAGAUUGGCACAGAUGUUAGCUCAGGGCCAAUCUUCCUCCUCCCCCGCCCCCCAAAAAAGCUAGGCAGAUAUACAGGGAACUAAGAAAGUGGUGACUUCUGUGGGGUGGAGUGGAAAAUCCAAGGAGACUCGGGUAGCAGAGAGAGUGAAACUUCUCAAUUAUACUUUCAAUAUUAUUUUGACUUUUGAAUCAUAGAAAUUUAUAACAUUUAAAAAAUAAAAUUGCAUUUAAAAAAUCUUCCCUGAGAAAAACAAUAACCCCCAAACUUUUUUUACAACUCGCUUAGGUGGGGACCUCGUUAUCCGUCUAUUCUUUUACACUUUCCAAUGGAAGAAAGAUGAGACUUGUUUAUAAUAAUGAAGUGUCAAUGUACAAGCAGCUUGUUUUUGGGGGGAGGGGGUGGCAUUAUGUAAACAUUUGCUUCUGCGGUUGGGGUAAUGAUCAUUCCUAUUUGAACCACGAUGUUCACAUAUCUUUCAAUCUGUCAUUAGAAAAUUACAGGACCAAAUACUGAUGUAAACAUUGUUGAGAAGAUCAGAUCAUCUCAAACCAACCACAUGGGUAACACAGUAGCAGCAACUGAUAAAAGAGAUAACAAAACUUGCUUCCUCCCAAGCACGGGCAUUCUGGCCAUCUACAGCGUGCCCGCACAGCCAGAGCUUUGCAAGGGGCCACUUGUUGCAUGGAUGACAGAAUCUGGGAUAGAACACUGACUAAAAAUAUUCUGGUCACACACAAAUUCCAAAUUCAGUCAUCCUUAGUGAUUCACUUAAUAAGUUACUAGUAAGAAGCGAUUAGUUCUCUGUAAAUGACAGUUGGAGGAUUGCGUGGCAUUUACUCAGGAGAAGAGAAGAAAAGACUCACAUGUUUGGGAAGCAAUUUGCAUCCAUCAGGAGAAUUCUUUCAUUGAAGUCUCUCCACUUUGAAAAUGACUAUAUUAGAAUUACCGUAUUGGCAAAAAUUUAUAAGGCGACCCUAUUCUGAGAUGGCCAAAGUCCUAGAGAAUUUGGACUCUGGUGGAAAAGACCACUCACCCAAAUCAUGCUUUUUCCCAGUGGGAAGCAGCCCUUCAAAUGAUGAUCUUUCUGAUGUGUCAGCUUUGGCAUCUGGGACAUCUUUUCUGGAAAGACCUUGCUGUGUGAGCUAGCUGCAAACACGGGAAAUCUUCUCACAGGGAGGUUCCAAGAGCUGCCCCAGAAAGGGAGUGUGGCCGCGAGCAGGAGCAGGAAACAGCCCUAGGAAUUCAAG